AGCGGUAACAGCUCAAAUUUGAAAUCUGGCUCUUCCGGAGUCCGAGUUGUAAUUUGUAGAAGAUGCUUUGGGUUGUGGGUUCGGCCUAAGUUCCUUGGAACAGGACGUCAUAGAGGGUGAGAAUCCCGUAUGUGGCCGAGGCCCGCGCCUAUGUAAAGCUCUUUCAACGAGUCGAGUUGUUUGGGAAUGCAGCUCAAAAUGGGUGGUAAAUUUCAUCUAAAGCUAAAUAUGGGCCAGAGACCGAUAGCGCACAAGUAGAGUGAUCGAAAGAUGAAAAGCACUUUGGAAAGAGAGUUAAACAGUACGUGAAAUUGUUGAAAGGGAAGCGCUUGCAACCAGACUUGGGCGCUGCCGAUCACCUUGAGUUUUCUCGAGUGCACUCGACAGCGCACAGGCCAGCAUCGGUUCGGGUGGCUGGAUAAAGGCCGUAGGAAUGUGGCUCUCUUCGGGGAGUGUUAUAGCCUACGGUGCCAUGCAGCCCAGCCGGACCGAGGACCGCGCCUUCGGGCUAGGAUGCUGGCGUAAUGGUUGUAAGCGACCCGUCUUGAAACACGGACCAAGGAGUCUAACAUCUAUGCGAGUGUUUGGGUGGUAAACCCAUACGCGGAAUGAAAGUGAACGUAGGUGAGAACCCC
rnacentral:rRNA from 1 species